UCCUGACGUCGGAGGGGGCGUAGAGUUCUCUCCCGCGCUGGUCGCCGCCGCCUGGACGCCCGCCCGGCUGGGCCCGAGCGUCCGGGUGUGGGGGGGGCGGGGGGCGUUGACCGCUAGGGGCUCAGCGGAAGUCGGGGCAGAGACCUGGAAGGAGGGGCGGCUGGUGGAGGCCCCUCCGGCCCGCCGGGGCCAAUUGGGAUUUGCUCUUGCCGCUCGGUUAAGCGUGGAUUUAAGAGUGGAGCUCAGGCACUCUGUGCUCUCGGGGGAAGGCGGCGGCCAAGAGUGCAUCGCGCUGCGGGUGCUCAGAUCUGAAGGGCUGGAGCUCGGUGGUCGGGGUUCCAGUGCGACUCUUGCGGGAGUCCUCAACCAAGCCCGGGCCCCCGGUGCUGAACCAGAGGUCUUCGUUUCUGUGGGCCCCACGUUGGAAACUUGAAGUCGUGAGGGGCUCUCUCUUCCAGGCAGAAGGUGUGUGUGAAUGCGAGCGUGUACCGAGGUGCAGUGAGUUUAUAACAUUCAAAUUCUAUUCCAUCAUAUUCUACGGACUGGCCAAAAUUUAAAAAUAUUACACCUGUGUUGCUCCUGCCAAGUAUGGAUACACACUCCCCAAACUAUUCUCAGUUUUAAUGAACAGAAGAAUUACCUGGAGCUGCUGAUUUAAAAAGACGAAGAUGAAGAUGAGGGUGAAGAUGAAGACAAAGAAGAAGAUGGAGAAGAAGGAGAAACGAGAAAGAAAGAAAUAACAAAAGAAGAUGGAGAUUUUUAUAAUCCCUGUCCCUUGAAAUUUUGAUUUGUAAGUUUGUGGUUGGACCCAAGAACCAUCAUUUUACAUAAGCACCAUAGGUGUUGUUAACCCCACUGAUUGUUGAUUCCUAUCAUUUUCUUUCUUAGAACAUAGUCAAAAUUCCAAUCAGAAUUCUCUGGAGACAUCCAGCGUAGUCCAACUUUGGUAGGUCCUACUCCUAACUUUAUGGUCUUAGGCAUUUUCCCAUAAGAGUUCAGACGUAGGGGCGCUUGGGUGGCUCAGUCGGUUGAGCAUCUGACUUCGGCUCAGGUCAUG